GGGCAAGCAAGCUGGGUAGAAAUGAUUUUUGCGGAGGUGGGGUGCAUGGAUUAGUGAGUUUGGAGGAAGCAGUCUCAGAUGAUAAGUUUAGGCAAUGAUCCUCCUAACAGGUGACUGGUAGAAUAAUAACUCCCUCCCAAUGAUAUUCAUGUCUUAACCCAAAGGGUUCAUGAGCAGGUGGAAGGCAGGUGGCACUCAUAAGUUGGAAAAUGCAAGAAAACAGAUUCUCCCCAAAGCCUCCAGAAGCAACACAGUCUUGCUGACUCACUUUGGACUUCUGACCUCCAGAACUAUAAGAAUAAUACAUCUCUACAAUUUGUAAUUUGUAGUUUGUUACAGCACAAGUUUGGAAACUAAAAAAGUGACUGAGAGGAUGGAUAAGAAAGUAUUUGGAUGACUCUUAAUAUACUGGAUCCUCUAUUUCUUGACAUACUCAUCAUCAACUCAACUGGUGCUUCCAGAGGCGGACAUGUGUUUCUCUAUCGAACUCCUUCCUCCACCAUGUGCAGCAAUCAUUUAAUUUCAAAGCUCUCCCCACUCUCACCACACCUCUUACCUCCUCUUCCUACCUGGCUAUCAGCAGUUGAUCUGCCUCCUGAAAUCAGUCGGAAUGAAGUCAACGAGUUGGAUUGGAAACUUCAUUGAAUGAAGGAGAGUUUCCAGGAGGUUACGACAAAGAUGGAGAAAGAUGUCUUACGAAAAGAACACUCAACAGAGCUGCAAAAUGAUGAACGUGGCAUUUGGACUGGACUCUGCAGGACUGGGGAAACAGAGAAGUUGGCUGAACUGAGGGGUUCUGGCAGAUGAGCCAUUCCAGCUCCUCCUUCUGUAGAUGAGCCCCCUGAAGCCCAGAGAGGAAGAGUGAUUUGCUGAAGGUCACCCAUCAUGUCCAGCACGCUUCAUACUAAGCAGAACAACCUCCCUUCUCUCCCUCCUUCGGCCACGAUGGGAGGGAGACUUGGCAUUGCCUCAGACCCUCCCCCAAAGAUUCUGCUUCUUUUUGCUGCUGGAAUCAGAAGGAUGAGCCAGUGAUGUUUGACAGUGAGCACGGAUUGCUAUUUUUAAUUGAAAUGAGCAAUACAUAAGAAGAAGGAAAGACCUCCAGAGUGUAACUGCCAAAAUAAGGAUCACCCUACUGGGAUGCUGUGUCCAUAUUCCACUCACUCAGCUCAGAGUGUUUGGAUUCUCCUGGGAAUGGCCUUCAGUGGCAGUUAACAGCAUGAGAAAUUUGCUCUUA
ensembl:lncRNA